rnacentral:misc_RNA from 1 species
UUAAGUUCAGCGGGUCUUCCUACCUGAUCCGAGGUCAACCUUGGGUAAAUAAGGCUUUUAACGGCCGGAACCCGCAGCACGCCCAGAGCGAGAUGUAACUACUACGCUGAGAACCUAACGGCACCGCCACUGUGUUUAGAGGCCGCUGGAGGGCGGGCCCCAAUACCAAGCCAGGCUUGAUUGGUCAAAUGACGCUCGAA